UACGGAGGGUGCAAGCGUUAAUCGGAGUUACUGGGCGUAAAGCGCACGCAGGCGGUUUGUUAAGUCGGAUGUGAAAUCCCCGGGCUCAACUUGGGAACUGCAUUUGAAACUGGAAGGCUAGAGUCUUGUAGAGGGGGGUAGAAUUCCAGGUGUAGCGGUGAAAUGCGUAGAGAUCUGGAGGAAUACCGGUGGCGAAGGCGGCCCACUGGACAAAGACUGACGCUCAGGUGCGAAAGCGUGGGGAGCAAACAGG
rnacentral:misc_RNA from 1 species